AUCCUGGGUUCAGCUUCCCCUGUGAGAAGGACACAUAUAACAAUAAGAAAUUAAGGGUUCGGGAAGGAGAGGGGCCACCCUGUGCUCACCCCCACACAGCCCUGCAGGAAAACCCAGUGAACGGUGCCCAGGUGCCUGGCUGACUCCUGGGCCGGGAGGGGACAUGGAGGGACAGUGGCCAUCAGGCUCUUUGUGGACACUGGGGAUUAACUACUGCUCGUUCUCAGCUCACUGGUGUCCAGCCCAUCAAUAACCUCAUCAAUAACCUAACUUUGGUCAAUUAGGUUGGAGUCCGAAGGUGACUGAUUUGCGGCAAGGUUUUCUCUCUUCCUCUGUAAAGUGGAGUCCUUCAUCAUUCAUCGCAAGUAGACAACUCGCUUCCUAAUGCCUCUGCAUUAAGGAGCCAGGCGCUGCAGCUCUUUGGUACGUGACCUCAAAUAGAUUCAUGCGUCCUUCUGCUGACACGCUCCUGGGAAAUCCAGAAACUCUAGAGAAGCUUGUUUGCCAAACCUUGCUUUGGGCGGUGGAGACAGAAUAUCAUGUCCCAGAUCAGCGUGUGGUGACUGUGGAGGCAUUUACACACAGCACACUCCAGCUCUGCCACUGGGCCGGCUGAGGUGGCUGCGGUACACGGCGCCCAUCCUGAGCCCCAGGUUCCUCACAUGUCAACAGCAUGAAAAGUGCCUCUAAGACAUCCACAGGUGUGCAGUGUUAAAGCAGGUGAGUGUCCUAGUGUAGACUUAGCGGAGUGGGGCUAGGGCUGCGGGUAGUGGGUGUUCCGCCCCCGGCUUGCUACCCAGUCCUCCCUGUCCCUCAGAUCUGGCCCCAACCCUCAGGCAGACCCGUGUCUUCUCUUCCACCCCCUCCCUCCUCCUCCCUGGCACUCAGCCUUGCUCUUCUACUCUACCCUCCCUCCCCAGGCAGCGCCUCAGCUUGGUUAGCUCCCUUAAGGACUGCGGCUCCCUUAGGACAAGGCUCUGUCCCUCAGAGCACUGAGUGCGAUCUCAUGCUGGCAUCUUAGAGACAUUGUAUUCACCAGGUAAGAUGGAUUCACAUCUGCUGGGUGCACGAACACUUCCUCCUUCCUUGCCACCAGCCAGCAUCACAACCAGCCUGGCCAGGCUCCCGUCCCAGCCCAGCCUAGCAGCUAACCCCAGCUCCAUCCCCCAGCAAGCCCCUCUGCCUGCACCUCAGCUUCUUCAUGGAAGACGAGUCAGGUCAUGAUGCCACCAGGGAGCGUGUUUCCAUGUUGAACUGAGACACUAAGCCCUUGACAAAUGUUGGCCAAGAAAAAAAA
rnacentral:lncRNA from 1 species